UACGUAGGUGGCAAGCGUUGUCCGGAAUUACUGGGCGUAAAGGGCGUGUAGGCGGCCUUUUAAGUCAGACGUGAAAACCCUGGGCUUAACCCAGGACCUGCGUUUGAUACUGAAGGGCUUGAGGACCGGAGAGGACAGUGGAAUUCCCAGUGUAGCGGUGAAAUGCGUAGAUAUUGGGAGGAACACCAGUGGCGAAGGCGACUGUCUGGACGGCACCUGACGCUGAGGCGCGAAAGCCAGGGGAGCGAACGGG
rnacentral:rRNA from 1 species